AACGAACGCUGGCGGCAGGCUUAACACAUGCAAGUCGAGCGCCCCGCAAGGGGAGCGGCAGACGGGUGAGUAACGCGUGGGAAUCUACCCAUCUCUACGGAAUAACGCAUGGAAACGUGUGCUAAUACCGUAUACGUCCUUCGGGAGAAAGAUUUAUCGGAGAUGGAUGAGGCCGCGUUGGAUUAGCUAGUUGGUGGGGUAAAGGCCUACCAAGGCGACGAUCCAUAGCUGGUCUGAGAGGAUGAUCAGCCACACUGGGACUGAGACACGGCCCAGACUCCUACGGGAGGCAGCAGGGGGGAAUAUUGGACAAUGGGCGCAAGCCUGAUCCAGCCAUGCCGCGUGAGUGAUGAAGGCCCCAGGGUUGUAAAGCUCUUUCACCGGUGAAGAUAAUGACGGUAACCGGAGAAGAAGCCCCGGCUAACUUCGUGCCAGCCGCCGCGGUAAAAC
rnacentral:rRNA from 1 species